UUCGUAGGUGAACCUGCGGAAGGAUCAUUAGUGAAACAUAGAGUGCUCUUUGUUGAGGCUCGUUUUAACUAUCCAAUACACUUUGUGCAUUUGAAAACAUUUAACCCUCUGGGCUUCGGUCCUUGGGUUUUAUUACAACCCCUUUGCUUUAAUUGAGAUGAUGAUGUUAUAAAAUUGAAAUUGAAAGUACAACUUUCAGCAACGGAUUUCUUGGCUCUCGCAUCGAUGAAGAACGCAGCGAAAUGCGAUACGUAAUGUGAAUUGCAGAACUCAGUGAAUCAUCGAAUUUUUGAACGCACCUUGCGCUCUUUAGUUAUUCUGAAGAGCAUGCUUGUUUGAGUGUCGCGAACUUCUCAACCCCGCCAAAGGCUUUAUUGACUUUGUGUUGCUUGGGCUUGGAUCAUGACCCUUAAAGUGUUACAGCUUUUGGGUUGAAAUAAAACAAGUUGAAUGAACCAAUUGCAGCUUGACCUGAUGUUGUAAACUACUCAUUGGGGAUGCAAUAAAAUUCAAGGAACUUCAAUAGCCGUCCCAUUAGUACUUCGCGGUACAAAUUUUAUGACCUCAAAUCAAGUAGGACUACCCGCUGAACUUAAGCAUAUCAAUAAGCGGAGGAAAAG
rnacentral:rRNA from 1 species